rnacentral:rRNA from 1 species
ACCUCCUCCCCCUUCCCCACCACCACCUUCCUCGGCCACCGGCGGCGGCGACAAUGGUGCAGGGACGCCAGGGCCAGCGCGUCAGGCUCUACGUGCGGGGCACCAUCCUGGGCUACAAGAGGUCCAAGUCGAACCAGUACGAGAGCACGUCGCUGCUCCAGGUGGAGGGGGUGAGCACCAAGGAGGACGUGUCGUACUACGCCGGCAAGCGCAUCGCCUACGUCUACAAGGCCAAGACCAAGAGCAGCGGCACCACCGUCCGCUGCAUCUGGGGCAAGGUCACGCGCCCCCACGGCAACUCCGCCGUCGUGCGCGCGCAGUUCCGGUCCAACCUCCCCGCCACCUCCAUGGGCAAGAAGGUCCGCGUCUUCAUGUACCCCAGCAGCACCUAAAGGGCGCGUAGCACAGUUGUGCGUGAGGCGCGCAAGGGGCCGGGCAGGGCGGUGCUGCGACGAUGGCCUCUGGCGAGGCAUAGGUGUGUUGGGUGGAGCUGCAUGGUUUUGCGCCGUGCUGGGCGAGUUGGGAGCAUCUGGCGAGGCGCGAGCGGCACAAGGGGUCCGACAGUGACACUGUGCGGGUGCACAAGGGACUGGGAUCUAUCGUCUGGAGGUCGUGCAGUGGCACGGGGAGGUGCUGCUGUUGGUGCGGCAUGGUGGAGCAGUCUUGUGGUGAUGGAGCACGGCUGCAUCUUUGUCCGUCGAAUCUGCUGUCUCUGUCCUCCGGUGGGCACGCGUAUGGAGCUUGGACGUGGCUGGAAACCGAGGUGGUUCUUGCCCUCGGGUUGCACACCUCUGGUCACUCGCCGGCAUGGUUCUCGGCAAGGCAUGGUGGUUUGUGCUGUGUCCGAUGGCCUGGCUUCCGGUCGACGGUUGACAGAUUUAACGGCUGGCGCUGCAUGUGGCCGCCCGUUGGCCUCCGCAAGGUGUGGUUGGUCUCUCCGGCGGCGGGCUUCUUUGACUUCGGUGGAGUUGUUGAUGGCGGUGCGGGUAGGAUGUUUGGAAGCUUUGGUGAAGACCCUGUAUGUCUUGGCUUCGGUAGGUGACCGGUGA